AGCGUAGCCGCGGGAAUACGAAGGGGGCUAGCGUUGCUCGGAAUGACUGGGCGUAAAGGGCGUGUAGGCGGAUCACGCAGUCAGAUGUGAAAUUCCUGGGCUUAACCUGGGGGCUGCAUUUGAGACGCGUGGUCUAGAGUGUGAAAGAGGGUCGUGGAAUUCCCAGUGUAGAGGUGAAAUUCGUAGAUAUUGGGAAGAACACCGGUGGCGAAGGCGGCGACCUGGUUCAUGACUGACGCUGAGGCGCGAAAGCGUGGGGAGCAAACAGGAUUAGAUACCCGUGUAGUCCCUGUCUCUUAUACA
rnacentral:rRNA from 1 species